AUUCGCAGUUAGUUCAGUAACGUGGAUGGAGAAUAACGCGUGGCUGGAGGAACAAUUGAAAAAUGGAUAAGAUAAUACAACAAAAGGAUGAUCAAAUUAUGAAGCUGUAGGCCCAAUUAUUGGAACAACCCAAAAUAUUAGAUAACAGCAAAGCUAAGGAUGGUAAGGCCUAAUAUGUAAUGAUUCUAUUUAUUUGCUUUUAUUCAUUUGUGUUUUGUAGCUCAAAUUUUGAGUCUACAAGCUCAGCUAGGGGAAAAGAACAAAUUGGAACGGAACAGUUUCCAAACAGUGAAGGAGGUUUUUCAAAACUCUUCCCUAACUGAACGUGAGGAUGAAUUGGCAUUAGGCGAACACAGUCAGUUAUUCAGUCUACCACCUGACAGUGUGUUAAAGUUAAAUUCUGUUAGUGCUGCAGUAAAAGAAUUGUUAGUAAUAAGUCCAUGCAGCGAAGGAAAUGAACAAUUGUGGGACCGUAUUUGGGCUGAAAAUGGGUGUGGUACGGAAACCCAGAAAUAGCAUGAGUUCAACAU